rnacentral:rRNA from 1 species
AUUGAACGCUGGCGGCAGGCCUAACACAUGCAAGUCGAGCGGAUGACGGGAGCUUGCUCCUUGAUUCAGCGGCGGACGGGUGAGUAAUGCCUAGGAAUCUGCCUGGUAGUGGGGGACAACGUUUCGAAAGGAACGCUAAUACCGCAUACGUCCUACGGGAGAAAGCAGGGGACCUUCGGGCCUUGCGCUAUCAGAGGAGCCUAGGUCGGAUUAGCUAGUAGGUGAGGUAAUGGCUCACCUAGGCGACGAUCCGUAACUGGUCUGAGAGGAUGGUCAGUAGCACUGGAACUGAGACACGGACCAGACUCCUACGGGAGGCAGCAGUGGGGAAUAUUGGACAAUGGGCGAAAGCCUGAUCCAGCCAUGCCGCGUGUGUGAAGAAGGUCUUCGGAUUGUAAAGCACUUUAAGUUGGGAGGAAGGGCAGUAAGCUAAUACCUUGCUGUUUUGACGUUACCGACAGAAUAAGCACCGGCUAACUCUGUGCCAGCAGCCGCCGUAAUAC